rnacentral:rRNA from 1 species
UACGUAGGGGGCAAGCGUUGUCCGGAAUCAUUGGGCGUAAAGAGCGUGUAGGCGGCCACUUAAGUCCUGCGUGAAAUCUUGCGGCUCAACCGCAAGCGGUCGUGGGAAACUGGGUGGCUAGAGUGCGGGAGAGGAGAGUGGAAUUCCUGGUGUAGCGGUGAAAUGCGCAGAUAUCAGGAAGAACACCCGUGGCGAAGGCGGCUCUCUGGAACGCAACUGACGCUGAGACGCGAAAGCGUGGGGAGCAAACAGG